UACGUAGGGUGCGAGCGUUGUCCGGAUUUAUUGGGCGUAAAGAGCGUGUAGGCGGCUAGAUAGGUCCGUUGUGAAAACUCGAGGCUCAACCUCGAGACGCCGAUGGAAACCAUCUGGCUAGAGUCCGGAAGAGGAGAGUGGAAUUCCUGGUGUAGCGGUGAAAUGCGCAGAUAUCAGGAAGAACACCCGUGGCUAAGGCGGCUCUCUAGUACGGUACUGACGCUGAGACGCGAAAGCGUGGGGAGCGAACAGG
rnacentral:rRNA from 1 species